GACGAACGCUGGCGGCGUGCUUAACACAUGCAAGUCGAACGAAGUGGCGAACGGGUGAGUAAUACGUGGGUAACCUGCCCUCCUUUGUGGGAUAAGCCUUGGAAACGGGGUCUAAUACCGAAUUAAGGGGGAUGGGCGCGCGGCCUGUUAGGUUGGUGGUGGGGUGACAGCCUACCAAGGCGGUGAUGGGUAGCCGGCCGGAGAGGGUAACCGGCCACAUUGGGACUGAGAUACGGCCCAGGCUCCUACGGGAGGGAGCAGUGGGGGAUAUGGCACCAUGGGCGAGAGCCUCAUGCGGCGACGCCGCGUGGGGGAUGCGGGCUUUAGGGUUGUAAAGCUCGUUGGCUAUCGAGCGGGUAGGUGGAGAAGAAGCGCCGGCUAACUACGUGCCAGCAGCCGCGGUAAUUC
rnacentral:rRNA from 1 species